CCUACGGGAGGCAGCAGUGGGGAAUAUUGCUCAAUGGGGGGAACUCUGAUGCAGCGACGCCGCGUGAGUGAAGACGGCUUUCGGUAUGUUAAGCUCCAUUAGUAGGGAAGAAAAUGACGGUACCUGACUAAGAAGCCACGGAUAACUACGUGCCAGCAGCCGCGGUAAUACGUAGGGGGCAAGCGUUAUCCGGAUUUACUGGGUGUAAAGGGAGCGUAGGCGGUUAUGCAAGUCUGAAGUGAAAGGGCAAGGCUCAACCAUGGGACUGCUUGGGAAACUGUAAAACUGGAGUGCAGGAGAGGUAAGCGGAAUUCCUAGUGUAGCGGUGAAAUGCGUAGAUAUUAGGCAGAACACAGAUGGCGAAGGCGGCUUACUGGACUGUAACUGACGUUGAGGCUCGAAGGCGUGGGGAGCAAACAGGAUUAGAUACCCUGGUAGUC
rnacentral:rRNA from 1 species